GGCGAGAUGGCCGAGCGGUCUGGGGCGCUACGUUCAGGUUACCUGAUUGUUGUCAUGGAUUAUGACUUUCGUAGUCCGAAAGGGCGUGGGUUCGAAUCCCACUCUCGUCA
rnacentral:tRNA from 1 species